rnacentral:rRNA from 1 species
UACGUAGGGGGCGAGCGUUGUCCGGAUUUAUUGGGCGUAAAGAGCGCGCAGGCGGUCGUUCAAGUCGCGUGUGAAAGCCCCCGGCUCAACUGGGGAGGGUCACGCGAUACUGAUCGACUCGAAGGCAGGAGAGGGUAGUGGAAUUCCCGGUGUAGUGGUGAAAUGCGUAGAUAUCGGGAGGAACACCAGUGGCGAAGGCGGUUCUCUGGGCAUUACCUGACGCUGAGGAGCGAAAGCAUGGGGAGCGAACAGG